AGAGUUUGAUCCUGGCUCAGAACGAACGCUGGCGGCAGGCUUAACACAUGCAAGUCGAACGCCCCGCGAGGGGAGUGGCAGACGGGUGAGUAACGCGUGGGAAUCUACCGUGCCCUACGGAAUAACGCAUGGAAACGUGUGCUAAUACCGUAUACGCCCUUAGGGGGAAAGAUUUAUCGGGGUAUGAUGAGCCCGCGUUGGAUUAGCUAGUUGGUGGGGUAAAGGCCUACCAAGGCGACGAUCCAUAGCUGGUCUGAGAGGAUGAUCAGCCACAUUGGGACUGAGACACGGCCCAAACUCCUACGGGAGGCAGCAGUGGGGAAUAUUGGACAAUGGGCGCAAGCCUGAUCCAGCCAUGCCGCGUGAGUGAUGAAGGUCUUAGGAUUGUAAAGCUCUUUCACCGAUGAAGAUAAUGACGGUAGUCGGAGAAGAAGCCCCGGCUAACUUCGUGCCAGCAGCCGCGGUAAUACGAAGGGGGCUAGCGUUGUUCGGAAUUACUGGGCGUAAAGCGCACGUAGGCGGAUAUUUAAGUCAGGGGUGAAAUCCCGCAGCUCAACUGCGGAACUGCCUUUGAUACUGGGUAUCUCGAGUAUGGAAGAAGUGAGUGGAAUUCCGAGUGUAGAGGUGAAAUUCGUAGAUAUUCGGAGGAACACCAGUGGCGAANGCGGUUACUGGUCCAUUACUGACCCUGANGUGCCAAACGUGGGGAGCAAACANGAUUAGAUACCCUGUAGUCCACCCGUAACCAAUAAUGNUACCGUC
rnacentral:rRNA from 1 species